rnacentral:rRNA from 1 species
UGGGGAAUCUUGCGCAAUGGGCGAAAGCCUGACGCAGCAACGCCGCGUGGAGGAUGAAGGCCCUUGGGUUGUAAACUCCUGUCGGCUGGGAAGAAAUCGUUCGCGGUUAAUACCCGCGGACGUUGACUGUACCAGCAAAGGAAGCCCCGGCUAACUCUGUGCCAGCAGCCGCGGUAAUACAGAGGGGGCCAGCGUUAUUCGGAAUUAUUGGGCGUAAAGGGCGCGUAGGCGGCCAUGCGUGUCUUCCGUGAAAUCCCUCGGCUUAACCGAGGACGUGCGGAAGAAACUGCAAGGCUCGAGUCCGGAAGAGGGGGGCGGAAUUCCCAGUGUAGCGGUGAAAUGCGUAGAUAUUGGGAGGAACACCGGUGGCGAAGGCGGUCCCCUGGGCCGGAACUGACGCUGAGGCGCGAAAGCGUGGGUAGCAAACGGG